AGGCUAUUAGCUCAGUUAGUUAGAGCGUUGUGCUAAUAACACGAAGGUCACAGGAUCAAGACCUGCAUGGGUCA
rfam:Zea mays cultivar B73 chromosome 10, whole genome shotgun sequence.